ACCCAUGACUCGACCUAAUCUCACCUAUCCUGGACCCAGACCUGGCCCAUAAAGAGUUAGUCCCUUGAGGCCCACAUAACCUAGACCUCAAGAAUCCGAAAGGCCCACAGCCUUUCAACCUAGGGCCCAACUAGCCCUAGAGCCUCCAUGAAGCCCUCAUGAAUGAUGGACCUUGGCCUUAGCCUUGGUCCCCUGGGCCUUGGGCACACCACUUG
rnacentral:lncRNA from 1 species